CCUGAAAAGAGGCCUAGUCUCUUAUCAAAUCUGCUGGAAAAGCGCAAGGAGCAGUUAAUUGGCAGUACAGCUGUACAGGAAUGCACAAAUUGCUGUGCCUUGAAAGAAAAAAUAAAGCAGCUGGAAGAAGACAACAGAAGAGUAGUUCUUCACUUGGACACCAUAAAUGAGUUGAAGAGCAUGGUGUGUGCGCUGAAAGGGGACUUAGAAGAAAGAAGUGCCCCUUCAAAGCAUCAAAAACCAGCCAUAUUUGCACAUCCACACUCAUCGCAAGACAACCAGGUGGAACCCCUUGAGGAUGAUGUGACCAUUGCUGAUGGCGUUACAGUUAACAAAAUACAGCUUAUGCGAUGCAACCAUCAGAGACCUUCAAAACUUGUGUGUGAUCUGCUUGGGGUGAUGUUCACAAUGGAGGAGCUGUCAACACAAUCCUUAACUGGAUUAAAGGGAGGUGCAUCAGAGAGUGUGAAACCUUCCUUGAAUAAGAAGCAUGUCAAUGCCAUUUUUGAUCUUACCAAAUUCUGGAUGAGGAGUAAAGGAAGGAUGUUGGAUACAAUUUCUGACUUUUCUAUAAAUCUAUUUUAAAAUACAUUGUUUUAUUAGUUAUCUUUUUAGUGCAUUAAAUGUUAUUACUUUGGACCCCAGUAAAAGAAAUUUGUUAAAUGUGUUCAAUCAGAUGGGAAAAGGUAAUAAUAAUACAACUGCCAAAUCUUUUACUGUAUGUCCUUAUAGGUUUAUUAGUCAAUCUGGGUUCAUUUUCUGCCUUUUGAUUUUAUUGCUUUGUAUCUGACAAAUUAUAUGAAUCAGAAAUCAUUAAAUAACGUGACAAGACUAAAAUACAGUAAGAAUACACUUCCAAAUAAAAAAAUAAAACAAAAAUUUUCUGGACCAAAAUUAAAAAAAAGUGUCAGUUAAGUUUUCAAUCACAUUUUCAUCUUCAAACUGUCUUUUCAACUUGUGGCUGCUUGUUCAAAUAUAAAUUCUAACUAUUGCCUUAAAAUAACAUUAAUGAAUAUAUAUGGUACAUAAUGAAUUGUUUUGUUUUUUAAAACCUUUUUUCCAGCCAACUAUACCCCCAUGAAAAAAAAAGGACCUGAAGAUGUGUUCUAGUUCAAAUGCAUUUGUGAUAAGUAAAUUUGUACAAAAAAAAAAUAUACUUUUGUCAAACUAGUUUUAGUUUUACUUCCCAAAUAAAAUAUGGAUGAACAUCUAUAUAUGAAGUAUUUGACUAUGAUCCCAUGUCACACUUGAUCUGCACUAAGCCAAAUCGCAAUGUUGAUAUGCUUUUCUUCGGAAGUCACGUUUAAUCUCGUCUCACUGAAAAUGUUACUACAUUCGACAGGUGUGGAAAAAUGGCUUGAGAAAAACGAGUUCUUGUGGUUGGAGAUUUCUUUGUUACCCACCAUUUUCUUCCGUGUGUAAUGCAUCUCACAUUCACAGAACUUUGUUUUGGAAGCAGACUCAGGAAAGGAAGAGGGAAGUUAACAGGAAGUUUAUUGAAAACAGUGAGCGGUACAGAAAAAAGCAGGUAAGUGAGAUGCACAAUGAUAAAUUGGAGAACUGGAUUCUGGAGGUGAAUGGAAUGUUUUCACUUACAGGUGAGAGGACUGAUGGAUGAUACGAUGGGUGACAAGACAGAUACAAUGGAGAAGGAACAAGGACAAAGCUGGGAGAUUGCUGGAUGAGGUAAGGUAAUGAGACCGGACAAUGAGCUGGGGUAAGGUGUGUGUAUUUAUGAUGGAGGUGAUGAGUGUGAUGAUGAGGUGCAGGUCUGAGUAAUCAGUAUUCGGGAGAGGGAGUGCACUGUGAUUGGCUGGUGUGAGAACCUGGCAGAUCUAUAAACAAUAGAAAUUGAAUUUAAAUCUAAAAUUGUUUUGUAUUGUUAAUAUAUUUUGACAUCCACUGUCUCCCAUGCACAGAUCUUAUAGGGUUAGUUCACCCGAAAAUUCUGUCAGUAAUUAGUCACCCUCGUUUUGUUCCAACCCCGUAAGACUUUCGUUCAUCUUUGGAACACAAAUUAAGAUAUUUUUGAUGAAAUCCAAAACGCAUGCGCGAGAACUGAGAAGAUGAAGCUCACGAUCAUUUGAUGGGAAAGUGAAAUGUAAGCCAUUAAUUUUGCGGCAUUGGUAAGGCACUUUUACGUUUUCUUGUUGGUUUCUCACGAUUCAGACAUCCAGGAAAUGCACACUUUAUAACCAUUUUAAACACUACAUCCAGACUUAUCUAUAAUGGUAGAUCCUGACCCAUCGCUCUCAUGAACUCACGUCAGUAUGGAAGCAUAUGGGUAGCAUUAUUCAAUUUGGGAAAUGCAAUAUGUAAAAUGGCAAUGCAUUUCUGUAUUUACAUUUACAUUUUCCAAUACAUUUGUGCAACGUUUGGUGCAAAAUGAAAAUGAAAAUUAAAUUGCAUAGGUUUAAUUUGCCAUUUCAUACACCAGUUUUAAUAUGUAAAAUGAAUGUUAAUUUUAACGCUUUAUAAGUUGCAAAAUUAAAAUGAAAAUGUAUUACAGAAAUGAUUAGAUAUGUCUAACACGUUCAAGCAAAAACUGUGGCAAAAUGAUCAUUUAAAUGCUAUUUUUCUUAAAUGCAUUAACACUCAAAGUCAAGACACUUACGAUUGCAUUUUCAUUCAAUGACCUGCAAUGAAUGUAGCAAAAUUCAAAGUGCACAUUGAAAAUGCAUUUCGAGCAGAUCAAAUCUCCGCCCCCUCCCGCCCUGUCAAUCACUGCGUGAACAAGGCGGGGCUUACAGAAGGUCAAGAGACUCAAGUGAGAGAAAAUGGACAAGACAGUUGGCCCGUGUACGUUUUGAUCAUUUCGGUUUAUGGCUUCAAUAUUUCAUUCGCACUUGUGGGCGGAGCUGAAACGCUGCUUUCAUCUGAUUGGUCGAAUCGCUCCGCUUUCAGCACUGUCUUUUUAUUGUUUCAGGGCAGAAUAAGAGUCAGUGCGAGUGAAGCAGUGUAAUGUCUGAAACCACCGCUCACUGUUAAUUAGCGUAAUAUUUGAAUCAGAUGUAGCUGGGCACAUAAUUUGUGCUGCUGAGACCUGCAAGAGACCCCGUUAAAUAAUUGUAUGAAUAUUGUCCCACUGAUAAAUACAGUGCAAAUAGUUCUGUCUCCUUGGAUAACAGUGAAGUGGAAAUAAAUAUAGUUAAAUUUAUGAAAUAAAAUUAAAUAGGAUUUUUUGGGAAGGUAAGUCUGGCCAGUUAUACAAGCAACACGGGUCGGACGAGUCUGAAGAUCUGAGCUGAAUUGGGUGAAACAUUUAAGUUCUAGCCUGUAUCAAUUACUGUCAUAAUAAAUAAUAAUAAUAAUGUUAACUGUAUUUUUCGGUAUAAGCUGCAUCAGUCCAAAAAUACGUCAUGACUAGGAAAAAAACAUAUAUAAGUCGCACUGGACUAUAAAUCGCAUUUAUUCAGGACCAAGAGAAAACAUUACCGUCUACAGCCGUGAGAGGGCGCUCUGGGUUAGGCUACAGGAGCACUGAGCAGCAUGAGCACUGAGCAGCAUAGAGCUAAUUUUACUAUUUUUAUUUAGAAAUGUAACUAUAUUAAUUUUUACAAUUAUUUAUUAAUGUCACACACACACAUACCUAGUGCCUUUUGACUUAAAAAUGAGAGUGGUAAAUGUUACAGACAUGGAACUGUUCAGUCUAUUAUUGAUUUUUAUUUCCACUUCACUUUUAUCCAAAGAGACAGAACUAUUUGCUCUGUAUUUAUCAGUGGGACAAUAAUCAUACAAUACUACAACCUAGAAAUAAUUUGCAGGUAUCGACAGCACGAAUUAUGUGCCCAGCUACAUCUGAUUCAAAUAUUAUGAUAAUUAACAGUGAGCGGUGGUUUCAGACAUAGUGCUUCACUCGCACUGACUCUUAUUCUGCCUGAAAGAAUAAAAAGACCGAGCUGAAGGCGGAGCGAUUCGACCAAUCAGAUGAAAGCAGCGUUUCAGCUCCGCCCACAAGUGCGAAUGAAAUAUUGAAGCCAUAAACCGAAAUGAUCAAAACGUACACCGGCCAACUGUCUUGUCCAUUUUCUCUCACUUGAGUCUCUUGACCUUCUGUA
rnacentral:lncRNA from 1 species